rnacentral:tRNA from 1 species
GUUGUCGUUGCAGAGUAGUUAAUGCGAUAGACUAGACUUGGGAUCUUCCCGCGCAGGUUCGAAUCCUGCCGACAACG